AAGGUAGCAUAAUCACUCGUCCUUUAAUUAAGGACUAGAAUGAAUGGAUUCACAAAAAAUAACUUUCUUUACUUUAAAAAUAAAACCUAAUAUAUGGAUGAAAAAUUCCAUAUCCUUUAAAAAGACCAAAAGACCCUAGCGAGCUUAAAUAUCUUUCAAAAAAUAUUUUCAAUUGGGGCGAUUAAAGAUAUAUUUCAUCUUUUUCUAAAAUAAAAUAUAAUUCCACCUAAAAUAAAUUUAAAUUAGUUACCGUAGGGAUAACAGGCUACUCAAUUUUAAAAGUUCAUAUUAACAAAUUGUCUUAGCACCUCGAUGUUGGCUUAAGGGUACUUUAAAAUGCAACAGUUUUAAAUAGUAGGCUUGUUCCGCCUUUCAUACCUUACGUGAUCUGA
rnacentral:rRNA from 1 species